GUCAAUAUGUCUAAGUGGUUAAGGAGAUAGAUUCAAAAUUUAUUGGGCUUUGCCUGCGCAAGUUCGAAUCUUGCUGUUGAUG
rnacentral:tRNA from 1 species